UGCCCGUUUUCACCAACAACCUCUUACCGUUUCCCUAUCUAAAUGCUACUUUUAGUAAGGAUCCCUCCCAAUUUGACACCUACCUAAAUUCAUUUUCACCACACUUGUACAUGGAUCCCUUAAGUAAGUGACAGAUUACUAGUUCUACAAACGAUAAUGCAAAGUCGAUAUUUUAUCGAUAAAAUGAUUUUUCUGUACUUCUUAAGAAAUAAACGUCUAUCGAGUAUAUAUUACUAAAGCCUAUAAGUUUAUUUUGGCAGAGAAGAGAAAACGAGGAUAAACCUUUCUUGCAGAAGAAAAAGACAAGCUAGUGAAAUUGCUGACGUCUCAUAGAGACACAAUAUUAAACAAAAAACGGAUGGGACCACGAACGAAGCCAAAAACAAAGCUUGGAUCCAGUCACAAAUAGUUUUAAUGCGACAGGAACCCUUUACAGUUUCAGGUGGUGCGAGAAAUUGGAAAGACGUGUAAAAACAUGCUGCGCCCAGCCCACCUCAAAUUGAAUUGGUGCAGGAGGAUGAUGAUAAUGUUUGGUACAUCAUAUGAGGACUAAUAUUAAAAUAUUUGUUUACUA